UACGUAGGGGGCGAGCGUUGUCCGGAGUGACUGGGCGUAAAGGGCGUGUAGGCGGUUCGAUGCGUCGGGAGUGAAAGGCGUGGGCUCAACCCGCGGAGUGCUCUCGAAACGGUCGGGCUAGAGGGCCGGAGAGGGAAGCGGAAUUGCCGGUGUAGCGGUGAAAUGCGUAGAGAUCGGCAGGAACACCAGUGGCGAAGGCGGCUUCCUGGACGGUACCUGACGCUGAGGCGCGAAAGCGUGGGGAGCGAACGGG
rnacentral:rRNA from 1 species